rnacentral:lncRNA from 1 species
CUUCUGUUUUCCUUUUCUUUUCUUUUACUUUUUCUUUUUCCGACGCUUCUUUCUUCUUCUCCCUUUUCUAUUUUUCCCACCUCCUCUAUUGCAACUUCCGUCAGCAUAUUACCAUCCCGCCACCUUCAAUCAGCCAUCAGUCAUCAGGCCCACUAGCCUAAUGACCCAAAUCAGCGCUUGAGAAAGCUAAGAGGUAUCAUUUAUUCAUUUUUUUGUAAGAUUGUUACCGGAUUUGCAGGGCAAUAUUGUGUGAAAUGUAAAUUGGGUUGUUUGUUUGCUAUAAAUUUGUUUAUUUGGUAGCUAUCAAUUUAUUUAUUGGGGUAUAGAAAAAUACCGUAGAUCUACAGUAAAGUGAAGGUUCUUACUCAAUUGAAAAUGUUACGUGUUCAAAAUUAUUAUAAUGUUCUGUUUCCUUGACUUUAGAUUAAAAUUUUGCUUUAUGCAAUUUAUUAGAUGUAAGAGUCCGUUUGGCAUGGCUUUUGAAAAGUCAAAACUAGCUUUUGAAUCCAUUUGACUAAUUUUGUUAAAGUGCUUUUGAUGGUUAAAAGAACUUGUAGAGAAAGUUGGUUCAAUAUGACUUCCUCUAAAAGCACUUCCGAAAAAGAAAAUACUUUUAAAUAUUAGUUUUCAAACAAAAAUUAAAAUAACUUUUUCCAAAAGCUCUUUUAAAAAAAGUAGAAUUAAAAGCAAAAGCUAUGCGAAACGGGCCCGUAAUCUUUGUUCUUAUUAAAAUUGUGCUUUGAAUCUUUAGAACUUCCUGUCCCAUGUCUAAUAAUGUUAAAGGUAAGAAUAAAUUAAUUUGAAUUUCCAAAUUUUGAAUAAUAAUUGCUGCAUUCAUCAAUGACGAUAUGAUAAAAACCUGAAGUGUGGAUAGAUUUCAAAUUAAAAUUUGGUCUCUUCUGUUGUCAUUAGUGAAUUGAUUUCAUCAAAAGCCUUCCAUGAUAGUUUGUUUUUUUUAUAUGGUGUCACUUGUUAUCUCUUUCACGACGCUCGAAAGUUCUGUUUUAUGUCUUUGUGGGGGAAAAUGGAAUGAAAGAACAUGUUGCAAUAAAUAAAACAUACAUGAUUGCUUGUUUAUUUUCCCAAGGCCGUGUAAAUUUCUCCACUGCUGUGGUUAUUUCAUUUGUUUUGUGAGAAUAGUAGUAUCAAGGGGAAGUUUGAAAUCUUUUGAUAACUUGGAUUAGAUCUUGUAACAGGAGUUUAAUUGAUUCUUUUAUUCUUAGAAAAAUAACCAGUAAACAUCUUUGGAGAAGAUGAAUAGAAAAUGGGGAGGGGUUUCUACUCUUUUUUUUUUACCAUUCUUUUUUCUAUUUUCCGACUUUUGUUUGUUGAGCUCUCCACUAUAGGUUUUUAUGAUUUGUGACUUUUUAUUAUCUUUAAUGAUUAGACUAAUCAAAAAGGUUAUUUGGUCUUAACUUUGUAUGACGGAGCAGCUGCCCCAAUGGCAUUUGUCUCCCAGCACGUUCAUACAAGAAACACAUCCUCACUGUACACAUGGUAUCUUUAUACUCCCAUCGAGUAUUUUCAAAGAUGUCGAUUUUACACAAAUUGUUUGUUUCAUAAAUAAUUACUAACUCAAGAAAUAUACUAACUUUUUAGGCGUCUUUCUAUUUAUAUGAUGAAUGAAGUUAUUGUGAGAAAAGAUUACAAAGUAUGAAAAUAUAGUCGCCUGAGAAUUGGAUGUAUCGGGUUUGGCUCGUGCUUCUGAAUACACAUUCCUCGUGUUUGCAUUCCUGGUUGGGAACUAUUUUAAUGUUAAUUCUCUUCUUUUCCUUUAUUUCUUUCACUUUGUUAUUCCCUUUUUUCCCUUCAUUUAUAACAUUCUACAGCAUUUGAGUAAUCAUCUUGGAAUAUUUCCCAACAGGAGGGUACAACACCUUGAACCUAUAUGCUGAGGAUGAAUUACAUCAUUCUGCACAAGCUGGGGAGGUGGCAAAAGAAUUACAAAUUAUGCUCCGGUAAAAUAUAUGCUGGAUGAUCAUAAUAAUCUUGUAGUUUCCUCUUUCACUUUUUUGACGUUUUAUUGCUUUGUAAAAGAUUUUAUUGCAUUAUCUUUGGUACAAUCAACGAGUUUUGUAGGUUCUGAAAUCGUUAAACAGAGCAAGGAACAGAGGGUUCUCUUAUGCCUUGUACCUUGAUUCGAUGAAUAAGCGAUAUAUUGAAGAGUUCUUUUCUUGUAAUGUCUUCAUUUUGAAGGUAUUCAACUAAUCACAUUUUGCACUGAUUAAUACGAUAUAUUUCAUCAAGGAAACUGCGGUUUAUUUUCUUAAAUUACUUGGUGGUCUUACUCAGAUUUACAAGUAAUUACUAAAAUCAUAUAAUUCAUAGACUUGUAUGGGAAAAUGUUCUUUCUACACCAACAACCAAUGGGUUAAGUUUCAAUGAGCGAAACUAAAGGAAUUUUACUGCAUAUGUUCCAAAAUCUUUUUUUUUCCCCAGUUUGCUAUCCUUUGUGCAUUCGAACUUUCAAUCAAUUCGUAGUUAUCUUCCUAGAUUAGAGCUCAAAGAAUUUUUCUCAAAUGUGUCAGGUUGAAGAAUGUCCUAUUCAAUUUGAAGAAUUACUUGAUGCUGACGAAGUUUUCUGCACAGGUUAUGUUACUCUUAACAUCUUUCUUAAAUAGAGUUUGAAGCACAUCCCUUAAUACGUAACAUCUUUUCCUGGUGUAGGUGCAACCUGGAGGACUAUAAGCAGGAUCAAUGAUUGUCAUCUUCGGGUUGGAAGCAAUAGGAUUAGUUGUGUGAUCUUCCACCUGAUAGAAUAGAAGGAUUUGUUGCAUAUCUAAUUCAUGAUGAUGAAUAGUUAUAUUUUUUUAGGUGCAUAAUAAUAGAAAGAGCAUGCUUGCUUUGCUCUUUUAAAUUUAGAUGUAAUGAUACUUUGUAAAUGGUUUUUAUUUUUGUUUUGAUGAAAUAUUUUUAAUUCAAUUUUAUAUUGA